GACGAACGCUGGCGGCGUGCUUAACACAUGCAAGUCGAACGGAAAGGCCCUGCUUGCAGGGUACUCGAGUGGCGAACGGGUGGGUAACACGUGGGUGAUCUGCCCUGCACUUCGGGAUAAGCUUGGGAAACUGGGUCUAAUACCGGAUAGGAGCCAUCUUUAGUGUGGUGGUUGGAAAGUUUUUUCGGUGUAGGAUGAGCUCGCGGCCUAUCAGCUUGUUGGUGGGGUAAUGGCCUACCAAGGCGGCGACGGGUAGCCGGCCUGAGAGGGUGUACGGCCACAUUGGGACUGAGAUACGGCCCAGACUCCUACGGGAGGCAGCAGUGGGGAAUAUUGCACAAUGGGCGCAAGCCUGAUGCAGCGACGCCGCGUGGGGGAUGAAGGCCUUCGGGUUGUAAACUCCUUUCGCUAGGGACGAAGCUUUUUUGUGACGGUACCUAGAUAAGAAGCACCGGCUAACUACGUG
rnacentral:rRNA from 1 species